rnacentral:lncRNA from 1 species
GCACAGAAGCAGGGGCAGGGGCAGAUGCAGGUGCGGAUGCAGGGGCAGGCAUAGAAACAGGCACAGUUGUAGGCAGGAUAGGCACAUUAACAGGUGAAGGUCCAACCGGGGCAAGCAGCUCAGGUGCAGGUGCAGGCACACUAACAGAAGGCACAAAAGCAGCAGCAGUGGCACUGGACAUGGGAACAUCAACGACAAGGUUUGCAGGAGCUGCUGCAGGCAUAGAGGUAGCAACUACUAGAGCAGGCUGAGAUUUCUUGGGCUCUGGAACAUCACUCGGAUAGAAGUGGAACUCUUUAGUGCGUUUGGCAUGUGCACUAAGGGCUGGGUCAACAGGCUCAAUGUUCACAUCAAUUAGGCUAGUUGUGUUUGCACUACUGCCUUCUGGUGGCAGAUUCAGAUUAAUAGCAGUGUUCCUGUUAUUGUCAUUAACAAAGGAAGGAUCUUCCACCUACAG